rnacentral:rRNA from 1 species
CAAUAGCGUAUAUUAAAGUUGUUGCAGUUAAAAAGCUCGUAGUUGGAUUUCUGGGAGGGUGCCGCCGUCCGGCGUGUCCGUGUGCAGUGGCGCCCUUCCAUCCUUCUGUUAGCGUCUCUUGGCAUUCAUUUGCUGGUGGCGGGCUCAGAUAUUUUACCUUGAGAAAAUUAGAGUGUUUCAGGCAGGCUAGGCCGGAAUACAUUAGCAUGGAAUAAUGGAAUAGGACUACGGUCUCUUUGUUGGUUUGAGGGACUGCAGUAAUGAUUAAUAGGGAUAGUUGGGGGCAUUAGUAUUUAAUUGUCAGAGGUGGAAUUCUCAGAUUUGUUAAAGACUAACUUAUGCGAANGNAUUUGGNAAGGAUGUUUNCAUUA